rnacentral:rRNA from 1 species
CAGCCGCCGCGGGAAAACGAAGGGUGCAAGCGUUACUCGGAAUUACUGGGCGUAAAGCGUGCGUAGGUGGUGGUUUAAGUCCGUUGUGAAAGCCCUGGGCUCAACCUGGGAAUUGCAGUGGAUACUGGGUCACUAGAGUGUGGUAGAGGAUAGUGGAAUUUCCGGUGUAGCAGUGAAAUGCGUAGAGAUCGGAAGGAACAUCUGUGGCGAAGGCGACUAUCUGGGCCAACACUGACACUGAGGCACGAAAGCGUGGGGAGCAAACAGGAUUAGAUACCCCCGUAGUCCCUGUCUCUUAUAA